UUGUUCUUCCUGCACUGGAACCGGAAGUAAAGUGUGCUCUGGAUGUAAUGGUUCCCGUCAACGUCCUGAUAACCAGUCCUGCAAUAAAUGUGACUAUAGCGGCCGUGAAAAAUGUAGUUCAUGUAGCGGCAGUGGCUUUCACAAGUGUGACACCUGUGAUGGAAAGGGACAGCUGCUCGUCUUCAUCAACCUCAAAGUGAAAUGGUAUCAUCAUCAGGAUUUCA